rnacentral:rRNA from 1 species
AACGAACGCUGGCGGCAGGCUUAACACAUGCAAGUCGAACGCCCCGCAAGGGGAGUGGCAGACGGGUGAGUAACGCGUGGGAAUCUAUCUAGUUCUACGGAACAACACAGGGAAACUUGUGCUAAUACCGUAUACGCCCUACGGGGGAAAGAUUUAUCGGAAUUAGAUGAGCCCGCGUAAGAUUAGCUAGUUGGUGAGGUAAUGGCUCACCAAGGCGACGAUCUUUAGCUGGUCUGAGAGGAUGAUCAGCCACACUGGGACUGAGACACGGCCCAGACUCCUACGGGAGGCAGCAGUGGGGAAUAUUGGACAAUGGGCGAAAGCCUGAUCCAGCCAUGCCGCGUGAGUGAUGAAGGCCUUAGGGUUGUAAAGCUCUUUCAGUAGGGAAGAUAAUGACGGUACCUACAGAAGAAGCCCCGGCUAACUUCGUGCCAGCCGCCGCCGUAACAC